rnacentral:rRNA from 1 species
GACGAACGCUGGCGGCGUGCUUAACACAUGCAAGUCGAACGGAAAGGCCUCUUUCGGGGGGUACUCGAGUGGCGAACGGGUGAGUAACACGUGAGUAACCUGCCCUUGACUUUGGGAUAACUUCAGGAAACUGGGGCUAAUACCGGAUAGGAGCUCCCGCUGCAUGGUGGGGGUUGGAAAGUUUCGGCGGUUGGGGAUGGACUCGCGGCUUAUCAGCUUGUUGGUGGGGUAGUGGCUUACCAAGGCUUUGACGGGUAGCCGGCCUGAGAGGGUGACCGGCCACAUUGGGACUGAGAUACGGCCCAGACUCCUACGGGCGGCAGCAGUGGGGAAUAUUGCACAAUGGGUGGAAGCCUGAUGCAGCAACGCCGUGUGCGGGAUGACGGCCUUCGGGUUGUAAACCGCUUUCGCUCAUGACGAAGCUUUGUGUGACGGUAGUGGGUAAAGAAGCACCGGCUAACUACGUG